rnacentral:rRNA from 1 species
CGUUCCCAUACCGAACACGGAAGUUAAGCUCUUCAGCGCCGAUGGUAGUUGGGGGUCUCCCCCUGCAAGAGUAGGACAUCGCUGGGC